AGAGUUUGAUCCUGGCUCAGAACGAACGCUGGCGGCGUGCCUAACACAUGCAAGUCGAACGAGAAAGGGGCUUCGGCUCCGAGUAAAGUGGCGCACGGGUGAGUAACACGUGGGUAACCUGCCUCUAAGAUUGGGACAACUCGUCGAAAGAUGAGCUAAUACCGAAUAAGACCACAGUUCCUGCGGGAACAGCGGUCAAAGGUAGCCUCUGCUUGCAAGCUAUCACUUAGAGAUGGGCCUGCGCACCAUUAGCUAGUUGGUAGGGUAACGGCCUACCAAGGCAAAGAUGGUUAGCUGGUCUGAGAGGAUGAUCAGCCACACUGGAACUGAGACACGGUCCAGACUCCUACGGGAGGCAGCAGUGGGGAAUAUUGCGCAAUGGGCGAAAGCUUGACGCAGCAACGCUGCGUGAGUGGUGAAGGCCUUCGGGUCGUAAAGCUCUGUCGGGAGGAACGAAUGCUCCUGAGGUUAACAGCCUCGGGAGGUGACGGUACCUUCAAAGGAAGCACCGGCUAACUCUGUGCCAGCAGCCGCGGUAAU
rnacentral:rRNA from 1 species